AAAUUUCCAUCAAUCAGUCGCAUCAUCCCGCAGUGAUGGUGUUUAUUGACCUGCAGCGUCGGUUGAUGGAUUUUU
rfam:Nadsonia fulvescens var. elongata DSM 6958 unplaced genomic scaffold NADFTscaffold_6, whole genome shotgun sequence.